rnacentral:rRNA from 1 species
GCCAGAGCCAUACCACCCUGCAGUUCUCGACUGGUUUCCCAUUGAAACUAAGCAGGGUUGAGACUGGCCAGUACCUGGAUGGGAGUCCUCCUGGGGAAAACUAGGGUUGCUGCUG